UGGGGACACCGGGACUGGGAUGGGGACACUGAAACUGGGAUGGGGACACCGGGACUGGGAUGGGGACACUGAAACUGGGGUGGGGACACCGGGACUGGGAUGGGGACACUGAAACUGGGGUGGGGACACCGGGACUGGGAUGGGGACACUGGGACAGAAACACCAAACCUGGACCAGCCCCAACCCCCCCGCAACCACUGCCACUCCCUCGGGCACUCCCGGAGGUGCCACCACGCUGUCCCCAGGUGUCCCCAGGUGAGGUUUGAGGGGGCACAGGCUGUCCCCAGGUGUGUCCCAGGUGUACCCAGGUGUGUCCCCAGGUGUACCCAGGUGUGUCCCAGGUGUACCCAGGUGUGUCCCCAGGUGUACCCAGGUGUGUCCCAGGUGUACCCAGGUGUGUCCCCAGGUGUACCCAGGUGUGUCCCAGGUGUACCCAGGUGUGUCCCCAGGUGUACCCAGGUGUGUCCCAGGUGUACCCAGGUGUGUCCCCAGGUGUACCCAGGUGUGUCCCAGGUGUACCCAGGUGUGUCCCCAGGUGUACCCAGGUGUGCCCAGGUGUGUCCCCAGUGCCCCUCACUGCCCCCAGGUGUGUCCCCAGGUGUGCCCAGGUGUGUCCCCUCACCCAUGCAGCCGUUCCCCUCGGUGUAACCAUCGGCGCACAGGCAGCGGAAGGACCCGGCCGUGUUCACUCACUCCCAGGUGUGCCCAGGUGUGUCCCCAGUGCCCCUCACUGCCCCCAGGUGUGUCCCCAGGUGUGCCCAGGUGUGUCCCCUCACCCAUGCAGCCGUUCCCCUCGGUGUAACCAUCGGCGCACAGGCAGCGGAAGGACCCGGCCGUGUUCACUCACUCCCAGGUGUAUCCCAGUGUCCCCAGUGCCCCCAGGUGUGCCCAGGUGUGUCCCCAGGUGUGGGGGGGGGGGGGGGGGGGGGGGGGGGGGGGGGGGGGGGGGGGGGGGGGGGGGGGGGGGGGGGGGGGGGGGGGGGGGGGGGGGGGG
rnacentral:lncRNA from 12 species